rnacentral:rRNA from 1 species
ACAGGGAGACAGGUGGUGCAUGGUUGUCGUCAGCUCGUGUCGUGAGAUGUUGGGUUAAGUCCCGCAACGAGCGCAACCCCUACGUUUAGUUGCUAACAGGUGAAGCUGAGCACUCUAGACGAACUGCCGUUGACAAAACGGAGGAAGGUGGGGAUGACGUCAAAUCAUCAUGCCCCUUAUGUUCUGGGCUACACACGUGCUACAAUGGCCGGUACAGACGGAGGCGAAGCCGCGAGGCGGAGCAAAUCCGAAAAAGCCGGUCUCAGUUCGGAUUGCAGGCUGCAAUUCGCCUGCAUGAAGUCGGAAUCGCUAGUAAUCGCAGGUCAGCAUACUGCGGUCGAAUACGUUCCCGGGCCUU